GGGGGGGGGCAAGCGUUGUUCGGAAUUACUGGGGCGUAAAGGGGCGCGCAGGCGGCCUGGCCAGUCCUACGUGAAAUCCCACAGCUCAACUGUGGAAUUGCGUGGGAUACUGCCAGGCUUGAGUCCCGGGAGAGGAGAGUGGAAUUCCCAGUGUAGCGGUGAAAUGCGUAGAUAUUGGGAGGAACACCGGUGGCGAAGGCGGCUCUCUGGACCGGCACUGACGCUGAGGCGCGAAAGCUAGGGGAGCAAACGGGAUUAGAUACCCCGGUAGUCCUAGCCCUAAACGAUGAGCACUUGGUGUGGCGGGUAUCGACCCCUGCCGUGCCGAAGCUAACGCAUUAAGUGCUCCGCCUGGGGAGUACGGUCGCAAAGGCUGA
rnacentral:rRNA from 1 species